UAUAACUAAUAACGCUGCACACGGUACAAUUCCGAACAUAUCUGACACGUCCAAUAUUCGAUAAAGCUCUCGCCGAAACUAUUAAGAUGCAACAAUGAAGGAAUAUUAUUAUUCGAAACUAGAUUGAACAAUAAAUUGGGUUUUCAUUGUUGGCGUGAAGCUUUCAGCGGAUUCCUAUGAAAUAUGAAGCGGUUACCGGAGUGAAUUAUUAAGGAAACGUGGGGACAGGCCUUGAUUUCGGGAGUUAUGAAUACAAAUAACUCCUAAUGGAUUCCUUCAGAGAUGACGAGAGGAAGGUCCUUCGAGAAAUUAACUGUGAAAAUUAAAAUGUUUGCCAUCAUGAUAUUGGAUACGCCUCCAGAUUCGUGGAUCGUAUUUUAAAGAGGAUACCAGUUAGCGACUUAUUUUUGUACCAAUUUUCAUGCAGUUAGCUCUGUGAUAGUUUCCGAAAAAAUUCAGAUGGCGUUCUUAAAAGAAGGAUAUUCUAUUUAAUCUGUAUAUUCCAUACCACUUGAAAAGUAAUAUAAUAGUUGAUAGAAUGAAUAAAAUAUUCUACGAGAUAGGAUGAAAGAAUAAACCACUAAGUGGAAUUUGCAAUGC